GGACUACUGGGGUAUCUAAUCCUGUUUGCUCCCCUAGCUUUCGUGCCUCAGUGUCAGGAAUCGUCCAGGGACUCGCCUUCGCCACUGGUGUUCCUCUCGAUAUCUACGCAUUUCACUGCUACACCGAGAAUUCCAGUCCCCCCUCCGAUCCUCCAGCCAAAUAGUAUCCAAUGCAGUUUCGGAGUUAAGCUCCGAGAUUUCACAUCAGACUUAUCUGACCACCUACGCACCCUUUACGCCCAGUGAAUCCGAACAACGCUUGGGACCUCUGUAUUACCGCGGCUGCUGGCAC
rnacentral:rRNA from 1 species